GACGAACGCUGGCGGCGUGCUUAACACAUGCAAGUCGAACGGUAAGGCCCUUCGGGGUACACGAGUGGCGAACGGGUGAGUAACACGUGGGUGAUCUGCCCUGCACUUCGGGAUAAGCCUGGGAAACUGGGUCUAAUACCGGAUAGGACCACUGCCUGCAUGGGUGGUGGUGGAAAGCUUUUGCGGUGUGGGAUGGGCUCGCGGCCUAUCAGCUUGUUGGUGGGGUGAUGGCCUACCAAGGCGACGACGGGUAGCCGGCCUGAGAGGGGGACCGGCCACACUGGGACUGGGAUACGGCCCAGACUCCUACGGGAGGCAGCAGUGGGGAAUAUUGCACAAUGGGCGCAAGCCUGAUGCAGCGACGCCGCGUGAGGGAUGACGGCCUUCGGGUUGUAAACCUCUUUCAGCACCGACGAAGCGCAAGUGACGGUAGGUGCAGAAGAAGGACCGGCCAACUACGUGCCAGCCGCCGCAGUAA
rnacentral:rRNA from 1 species